rnacentral:rRNA from 1 species
GGUCUUGACAUCCCGGAGACCCUUAGGAAACUAGGGGGUGCUUCCAUCUGGAAGGAAUCUGGAGACAGGUGCUGCAUGGCUGUCGUCAGCUCCGUGUCGUGAGAUGUUGGGUUAAGUCCCGCAACGAGCGCAACCCUUGCCUUUAGUUGCCAGCAGUUCGGCUGGGCACUCUAAAGGGACUGCCGGUGUUAAACCGGAGGAAGGUGGGGAUGACGUCAAGUCCUCAUGGCCUUUAUGGCCAGGGCUACACACGUACUACAAUGGCCGAUACAAAGGGCAGCGACACUGCGAGGUGAAGCCAAUCCCGUAAAAUCGGUCUCAGUCCGGAUUGGAGUCUGCAACUCGACUCCAUGAAGUUGGAAUCGCUAGUAAUCGUGGAUCAGCAUGCCACGGUGAAUACGUUCCCGGGCCUU